UUGCUCUCGCCUGACGAGUGGCGCACGGGUGCGUAACGCGGUAUGCAACUUGCCCUUAACUGAGGGAUAGCCCAGAGAAAUUUGGAUUAAUACCUCAUAAUAUAUUUGAGACACAUGUUUUAGAUAUUAAAGCUAUUGCGGUUAAGGAUGGGCAUGCGUCCUAUUAGUUAGUUGGUGAGGUAACGGCUCACCAAGACAGCGAUAGGUAGGGGGCCUGAGAGGGUGAUCCCCCACACUGGUACUGAGACACGGACCAGACUCCUACGGGAGGCAGCAGUAAGGAAUAUUGGGCAAUGGACGCAAGUCUGACCCAGCCAUGCCGCGUGCAGGAUGACUGCCCUAUGGGUUGUAAACUGCUUUUAUAUAGGAAUAAACCUUCUUACGUGUAGGGAGCUGAAUGUACUAUAUGAAUAAGCACCGGCUAACUCCGUGCCAGCAGCCGCGGGUAAUACNGGAGGGUGCAAGCGUUAUCCGGAUUUAUUGGGUUUAAAGGGUGCCCAGGCGGAAGAUUAAGUCAGUGGUGAAAGCCCGCAGCUCAACUGCGGAACUGCCAUUGAUACUGGUUUUCUUGAGUAUGUUCGAAGUAAGCGGAAUANGGCAUGUAGCGGUGAAAUGCAUANAUAUNCNUAAAACCCCGAUAGCGAGGCCGCUUACUAGGUCAUAACUGAC
rnacentral:rRNA from 1 species